CCUGUCCCUAGAGGUGUUGCAGGUGUGGCUACUAUGUCACAUAUGGGUCAGUAGGUGACACAGAGGAGAGAAGCUAUGUCUACACUCAAUAUUCUGACCUUUGAACACCUGAAUGAUUAGUAGCCUCACAUU